UACGGAGGGUGCAAGCGUUAUCCGGAUUUAUUGGGUUUAAAGGGUCCGUAGGCGGAUUAAUCAGUCAGUGGUGAAAUCUCAUAGCUUAACUAUGAAACUGCCAUUGAUACUGUUAGUCUUGAGUGAUGUUGAAGUUGCUGGAAUGUGUAGUGUAGCGGUGAAAUGCUUAGAUAUUACGCAGAACACCAAUUGCGAAGGCAGGUGACUAAACAUCAACUGACGCUGAUGGACGAAAGCGUGGGGAGCGAACAGGAUUAGAUACCCCCGUAGUCC
rnacentral:rRNA from 1 species